UUCUACUACAGGUUAGGAAGAAAACGGGUUUUCUUAUGGGCGAGUUUGGCACAGGGAAAAAUUCUGCCGCUAGGUGCGCUGGCGUAGCGAAAGGGUAACAUUUUACACACUGCCAUGAGGGUGAACGUGAGAAAACCGCAUUGAAGUCAAAUAAAAUAGUCGGUAUGGUAUUUAGUUAUGUGCUUUUUGUUUGCAAGAAUUAUAUUGAACAAGUCUUCCGUUAAGAACGUGUAAAUUUCACAACUUUGUGCCUUUUGGGUACGUAAAUAAAAGCUAUACUGCGUUUAUGUUUCGCCGCGAGCAAUCUGCAUAUUAUGAAGGCUGUUGAUGGUGAAAGAAACAAUUCUGGCUGAUAUUUGGUGGAUAAUUCCCACGUGUCAAUAUACUCCAAGAAACCAAGAAGUGUCUACAUAAGAAAUAAAGAAUCAUUAAGUAUUUUUAAUGUUUCAAUACAGGAAAAUCUUUAUUUUUGUUAAGUGCAGUUUAUGAAUAGAAGCUGUCUAUAAAAUUAUUUUUGUGUACUUAUUUAAUAAAACAAGUAUAUACAUUUAAUUUACAAAAUAAUUUUUAAUGUGUUGUGUGCACAGGAUGUGAAUAAAUUGGCCGAGCCCAUAUUUCCCAUUUCAUUCCCAAAAAUGCUCUUGGAAGUAAAAGAAAAUUGUGUUCAUAAAUUCAUUAGUGCCUCUGGUAGUUAGUCGGUAAAGAAAACAAUGACAAGUACCAUUAUCGUUUAAAUUUUGAUGUGUGGAAAUUUUAUUAUGAAUAACUGCAUUAUGGAAAUUACAUAAUUUGUACAGCAAUUUUUAGUUACCUGCUUCAUGAGAGUAACACUCAUUUCCUGGAAAUUUUUUGGCUGCACAUGUUUAUAUGUUAAAUUUGGGGCCAUUCUUAGGCCUGCCGCUUUACUGUCAUACUUCAAUAGAAGUUCCAAGUGGUUCAUGCAUGCUGCUUCCAUCCCGAUCUUAAAUGAAACAAAUUCCGUAACAGAUUUUAACAAUCAAAUAAUCAUAUUGAAAUGUCAGCAAUUUUUUUUUUACAUUUGAAAACUAACCUUAAAUACACGUGAUUUAAGCCAUCUGUUUCUUAUACAAGUGUGGACCAUCAGAAAUGAAAUAUAACUUUCUGUCGCCUGUGUCACUACAUGGGUGGGUAACUGAAUUACAAACGUUCUUCUCAUAUUUUAUGCCAAUACCAAACUUUUUCCACAUUGAACGGUUUGUUGUUGCUCCAUCACACACUACGCAGUCUACAAACAGACCAGCUGCAUCUAGUUUCGCAAUAGCAUCCAGAACCAAAUUUGUAAGGACAUUGCCAGGGGCUGCAUUUUUGGUGAGAUACAGACCAACAACCUGGCCCCAGUUACAAAUAAAUGGCCGAAAGAAUAGGACCAAACCAUGGUCAGCAUACUGAGAGAACUGUGUGUCUGUUGUAUUAGAACCUACAUCCACUAACCCUGUGAUUGUACCAGACACUGAAUUUAAAUCCAAAUGUUGUGUUAAACUUAUUUCGUCAAACGGCAGUACACCAUGAUGUUCAAUAGUGUCUUUUCUUAUAAGCAAGGAUUACAGUUUACAUUUAAUGCACUGCAGAAUAUAAUCUGAAAUGCCACAUUCUGCCUUUAUACCUCGGAUGUAUGUGUUGAUAGUGCGUACUGUGGGAACAAAAAGAAUUUUUUGUUCUUGAAUAUGCUUGUACAAAGAAGGGCUCUUACAUCGCAUAAGAAUACAUUCCAGUAUCCAUUUCUUACUAAAAGAAUUUUUCUGCAACGUACAGGAAUGAAAGCACUGUUUUACAGCUUCUUGCUGUUUUUCUGGCAAAUUGUUUAUGGCCUCUUGUAAAGCAGUAGUAGAAAGCUGUUUGUUUUUUCCUUGUAAGUGUUUUAUCAUUGUAAUGGCAGAUAUUUCUUUUAGUACCGAACGCUUCACAUUUCUAGUUAGAAAGCAUCUUCGUGGAACUUUAGAUUUACUUAUUAGUCAUGUUUUGAAGGAUUUGCAGUGUAGGAAAACUUCAUUUGAAACAAAGCAACAUUUUGGAAUAAACAAAAUUCCAUUGCAUAUUGUUGCAUUACUUAAUAUUUUUAAUGACACUUGAGGUGAGUUCAUGCUGGUUAUUUCUUUGAUAUGUACCCCUUUGCAAAACUCUAUUAUUUCCAACUUUCUGAGAAGUAACAAAAUGCUGUCUGUAGUAUGGACAUAGUUAAAAUUUAACCUCCUCAUAUUUAUUUUACAAUUGCAAAUGUACAAACUUGGCUGAGCACUGUCACGUUCCCAAACAACUUUAAUUAACAAAUCUGCAUUGUUCUGCUCAGAUUUUCGGUAGUAGAAAUAUGUCAGUGAAGCAUCGUUUUCUGUUUUUCUGCCCCAACCAUUAUCAAGAGACCUUGAUAUUAGCCACUGCCACACAUUUUCGUUUUUUGUGGUGCUUGGGGAGCUGGCACUUUGUGGCUCUAAGCGAGCAAUAUUGACAGAAUUUUUGUUAUCAAUGUUCUGUAAACAAGAAUGUUCAAACAUGAUUAUUAUUUUGCUAUAUAUUUCUAACAAUAAAUAUUCUGAAAAAUUUUUAUAA